rnacentral:rRNA from 1 species
AUUGAACGCUGGCGGCAUGCCUUACACAUGCAAGUCGAACGGCAGCACGGGAGCAAUCCUGGUGGCGAGUGGCGAACGGGUGAGUAAAGUAUCGGAACGUGCCCAGUCGUGGGGGAUAACGUAGCGAAAGUUACGCUAAUACCGCAUACGAUCUAUGGAUGAAAGCGGGGGAUCGCAAGACCUCGCGCGCUUGGAGCGGCCGAUAUCAGAUUAGGUAGUUGGUGGGGUAAAGGCUCACCAAGCCGACGAUCCGUAGCUGGUCUGAGAGGACGACCAGCCACACUGGGACUGAGACACGGCCCAGACUCCUACGGGAGGCAGCAGUGGGGAAUUUUGGACAAUGGGCGAAAGCCUGAUCCAGCCAUGCCGCGUGCAGGAUGAAGGCCUUCGGGUUGUAAACUGCUUUUGUACGGAACGAAAAGGUCUCUCUUAAUACGGGGGGCUCAUGACGGUACCGUAAGAAUAAGCACCGGCUAACUACGUGCCAGCCGCCGCAGUAA